AUCUACCGCCAUACCACCCUGAACACACCCAAUUUUGUUUUAGCUUGGAAGCUAAACAGGGUCAGGCUUGAUUAGUACUUGAAUGGGAGAAGGCUUGGAAAGAGAGGUGUGACC
rnacentral:rRNA from 1 species